GGGUGAGUAACCACGUGGGGAAUCUGCCUAGGAGUUGGGGGAUAACAUUCGGAAACGGAUGCUAAUACCGCAUAUCUUCUUAGACCGCAUGGUCUAUGAAUGAAAGACGGCUUUGCUGUCGCUCUUAGAUGAUCCCGCGGCGUAUUAGUUAGUUUGGUGGGGUAAAGGCCUACCAAGACCAUGAUACGUAGCCGACCUGAGAGGGUGAUCGGCCACACUGGGACUGAGACACGGCCCAGACUCCUACGGGAGGCAGCAGUAGGGAAUCUUCCACAAUGGGUGAAAACCUGAUGGAGCAAUGCCGCGUGAAUGAAGAAGGUCUUCGGAUCGUAAAGUUCUGUUAUUAGAGAAGAACAAGUCAAGGAGUAACUGUCUUGACUUUGACGGUACCUAACCAGAAAGUCACGGCUAACUACGUGCCAGCAGCCGCGGUAAUACGUAGGUGACAAGCGUUGUCCGGAAUUAUUGGGCGUAAAGGGAGCGCAGGCGGUUGGAAUAGUCUGAUGUGAAAGCCCACGGCUUAACCGUGGAAGGUCAUUGGAAACUGUCCAACUUGAAUACAGAAGAGGUAAGUGGAAUUCCAAGUGUAGCGGUGAAAUGCGUAGAUAUAUGGAGGAACACCAGUGGCGAAGGCGACUUACUGGUCUGUGAUUGACGCUGAGGCUCGAAAGCGUGGGUAGCAAACAGGAUUAGAUACCCUGGUAGUCCACGCCGUAAACGAUGAGUGCUAAGUGUUGGAGGGUUUCCGCCCUUCAGUGCUGGAGUUAACGCAUUAAG
rnacentral:rRNA from 1 species